AAAACAGGCCUGAAACUGGCAAAACAUGGCUAAAGCAAUAUUCCUGAAUCCUGCCAAGAACAUUUAGUAAGGUUCAUGCAUAAACUGAACAGUGACUAAACCAUUCAUAACCACCCAGCUGUCUACUCUGCUGUGUGCAUGAUGGCUUGUGAGAGUUUGAGCUGUGUUAUGGAGGAUACUGAGAAGAGUGCUUUUAAAGAAACAUUAAGAAGAUGUGUCUGUAACCUGGAUGUAACCUCACGGUGGAAAAUCCAUUGGAAAAAUGGAUUUUAUAAUGGCAAGUAUUGGCUGGAGCUUUGUGGAAUCACGCAGAAAUGGAUCCUUGAACCUAAGAUAUUUUUGAACACCUUUGAUUACCCAAAACUCAUUGUUACAUCAUUGAUUCUCUCAAAGCAAAGUACUUACUCCCAGGAAUUAAACAAUAUCAGUGACUGGAAGUGGGAUUGUGAAAUAAUCCUCACCACAAUUAACAGCCUGGGACAACUGUAAAAUUUUGCAUUAGGGGAGAAGGAGAACUGAGUUCACUCUGGCGCCUCUCAGAGACGGCCACACUUCAUCCUGAUGGUGAAAUAUCUCCUUAACACCCAGACAAUGUCUUCUGUUUGAGAAACAGUCGGAGAACUGGAUGUAGCUAACAUGAUUUCACCAAGAGUGCUUGAAUAUCUGGUUAUAAAUAGCUAAAUAGCAUCUGUUGUCAUGUCUCGAUGUGUAUAUUGACUUGUUUUCCUUUGUGUCAAGGUCUUUCAUGGAGUCUUUAUUAUCAGCGCUUACAGAAUAGGGCAUCACUCGUUUGAACUCAAUCUAUGGCUUUGAAUUUGUCAGAUAUAAGAGGACAAUUGUACAAUGCUAUUCUUCACUUUUUUAUGUGACAGCAGGUAUGUUCAAAGGUUUGUGUGAUCUGGAUCAGAACCAAGGGCUCUGUGAUUUUUUGUCCAAAGUUAUGACUACUUUCAGAGAAACCCAAAUGUGCAGCAAAACCAUUUCAAGUGAUUAAUAGUACCCACAAGUAGGUGAUAAAAGUCAUUACUUUCAGACCUGCUAUCUGCUACUUGGGUAAUAGCUGCAUGAGCAGACAACUGGCUGUUGAAAAGCCAACAUAUUAUCUGUUUGGACUGGCAAGGAGGCAGACCUGACUGCUGCCUUUAUCCUGUGUAACUAUAAAUUGUCAUUUUCAUCAAGAUUGCAGAAUGCUUCUCCCUGUACCUGUAUUACAUCCUAUAGUUGAGUGUUUUUUCUUUUGUUUGUUUGUUUGUUUUACUCUGUUUUGCCUUUUUUUAUGUGAUAGAGUUCUUCAAGUUUUGGGAUAGCAACCUUCAUCUCCCGUUUUUUGGUUAUACACUUCUGCUAGGGCUUUAAAUCUCAUUGUUGACUCUGUUUUCCUUCUCAGCAAACUUCAGAUCUAUUCUUUUUGGUAUUUCUCCUUAAAAAGAUGGGAAAAUCUUUAUAUUGUGCACUAAUGAUGUUAAAUAGAUCUUACCUAGAUUGUCCUUUAGAAAUACCCAUGUUUCUGAGACAAACUAUGGACUCAAGAAGUCCAGAUAAUCCUAUCGCUUUCUGCUUCUCUUUAUGGGCCAUUCUGAGAAACUAGGUUUUUGUUUUGUGAAUGAUGAAGUGGUGCCUUCAGUACAAUUUAACUGAAUUCAGUCUCCUAUUAGACUAAAGUACAUACGAUACAAGCAUUAGAUCUUGCACUGCGUCAUAUUCUAUAGCCCUAGACUUUGAGAACAGAGGGAUGAUUAUGAACCAUUCCAAAUCAACAGGUACAUUAUCAUACUAUUCCAUACUUCCACAGUUUGAAUGGUGUUAACUUGUCUCUUUUUCAUAAACUUGUGAUUUUUUUAUUCUCUUAAAAAAAAAAAAAAGGAAUGUAGGUUUUCAAAAUUUAAGAUUUUGGUGCCUCCC
ensembl:lncRNA